rnacentral:tRNA from 1 species
UCCCUGGUAUUUCAGCUGGUAAAAAAUCUGCCUGCAAUGCAGGUGACCCGGGUUUGAUUCCUGAGUCAGGAA